GCCCGGUUAGCUCAAUCGGUAGAGCGUGAGACUCUUAAUCUCAAGGUUGCGGGUGAGUAAUUGAAAGCAAACCACAAUUGAGGAUGAAUAAAUGUACUAAUCCUAGCAGGUUCGACCCCCGCAUCGGGCU